rnacentral:ncRNA from 2 species
AUCGUUCAUCUGCUUAACAGUCAGACGGAAGUAAGAAGUAAUGGCUUCUGAAGGAACGCGCC